GUAAACAUUUUAUUUGAUUUAUUUUCAUGUUUAAAAGUUAAAUGUUGCUUAAAAGAAAAUCCGUAGUAAAUGUCACAAAUUGAAUAAAUAAUUAAAUUAAACUAUUAGGAAUAGCUCCGCCCUUAGUGGGUUGCAUCAUCUCUAGCGCUGAGUAGAGGUAAACAGUCUCUCAUCACGGAGCAGGUAAAAAUGGCCGUUUGAGCAGUGAUUCAUGUAAAUAGCAGUUCUAAAGUCAAGAAAGAUUAAAUGAGAAAUUGAGCUGAUUCAUCCGACGAAAACUGCAUAAAACAGAUUCCUUGAUACAUCGAGAUUAUUUCUGAUCGUUAUCGAUUUAUUCUUGGUUGGGUUUUUUUGUUUUUGUUUUUGUUUUGUUCCCUCUUUUCUUUUCCCAUCUGGUUGUUUCCGGUCCUUCUACAUCUCCCUUUGAAAUUGAAUGAGAAGGUUCUUGGAGUUCUGAGUUAAAACUGUUUCUGCCAUCAACGAGGAAUGUUCAACAUUGGUGGAAACUGGCGAGCCAACCUGGUUUUCUUGAGCUUGGAUAACAGUUUAUGUUCAUCGAAAUGGUAGGAUCACACGUAUUCAACUGUGAAUAAGAACUGAGUUGCAUAUCUGCGUUCUUUAGCCGGAACGCUAAAACAGGGAUACGAGGGACACUGAACUGAGCUAAAGUUGCUUGAGUCACUUCUAUCAAAGACAAUUACCUGAAAAGGACUCCGAUUGGUGUGUCAUUAUACAACUUGCCUGAAAUUUAUUAUUCAAAUUGCUGUUAUUCUAUUUAUUUUCUUUGCUUUUCAUCCUUUAUUUAAAUUGUUCUGAAAGGUAAACACAAAGGGUUAUUUUGUGUCUUGUACUGUUUUGUUGCUGUCAUUUGUUUUUUUCUGUUGUUGGCUUUCCCAACGGAAGCAAGUUAAGGCAAACAAAGAAUAUUGAUCUUCUCAACUAAGGUUUUGUCUCCUGUCAUCAUUUCCCUCGUCUUGCUGCAACGCUGGCUCAAGAGCGAAUAUUGUCUUCUGAUUUAGUCCAAAGCGCUAGAAAGUGGUCUAUGCACGUGUGUUACACAUGCGUGAUAGUGAUGUUUCGUUCGUGAACGAAUCGUUCUUUUUGAACGAAUCUUUAAAGUGAACGAAUCGUUCUCGUUCCCGAAAUGCAAUGACUCAUAUUUCUCGUUCACUGAAAUCUCUCCCUCGAGCACAGAGCAUCUUGGCUUAAAAGAGUGUCUAAAGCAUGAGCCAAUGGCGUUCGAGGGUGAGCUUUGACAAAGCAUAUGAUUGGUUGAAUGUACUGAACGAAUACGCCCUUCACUGAACGAGCCUGUGUUUGAGUCUGAAUGAGUCUGAUUCUCGUUCGUGAACGAAAUGAACAAUCAGUCAUCUCGUUCAUCUCGUUCGUAAGUGAACGAAAGGACCCGCUGAUUCUCGUUCAUGAACGAGCUGUUACUUCUGCCUCGUAAACGAAAUGAAAGAUGAGGUCUCUUGUUCAACAAGUACAGAAACGGACACAAUGUCCGAAAAUAAUCCUUACGAAAAUAAUUCAGUUAUGCAAGAUGAUGGUUAAAUGUAACAAGGAAAAAUGAACAUUGUCAUUUUUAUUGCAUGGAAAAUGUCAAGCCCUUUUUACUCAGUUAUUGUACUGCAAGCACAGGUGUUUUGUGUGCAUUUUGUAUCAUUUAUUGUUCUUUCAAAUAAAAACGACUUCAUUACGUUUAAUUCAUGUCAUGCACUUCUCUAAAAACUGUAAAACAAAAAAGUAUUGGUUAGCUCUCAUUCGCGUCACGUCAGCAAAUAGCAUUCCAGUUCCGGCUAUGAAGGGACGUGUAAUUGGUUAGAUCUUCCACUGAACGA